UACGUAGGGGGCGAGCGUUGUCCGGAGUUACUGGGCGUAAAGCGCACGUAGGCGGACUCUUAAGUCAGGGGUGAAAUCCUGGAGCUCAACUCCAGAACUGCCUUUGAUACUGGGAGCCUUGAGUUCGAGAGAGGUGAGUGGAACUGCGAGUGUAGAGGUGAAAUUCGUAGAUAUUCGCAAGAACACCAGUGGCGAAGGCGGCUCACUGGCUCGAUACUGACGCUGAGGUGCGAAAGCGUGGGGAGCAAACAGG
rnacentral:rRNA from 1 species